rnacentral:rRNA from 1 species
GAGCAACGCCGCGUGAGUGAUGAAGGUUUUCGGAUCGUAAAGCUCUGUUGUUAGGGAAGAACAAGUACCGUUCGAAUAGGGCGGUACCUUGACGGACCUAACCAGAAAGCCACGGCUAACUACGUGCCAGCAGCCGCGGUAAUACGUAGGUGGCAAGCGUUGUCCGGAAUUAUUGGGCGUUUUCCCCUCGCAGGCGGUUCCUUAUGACUGAUGUGAAAGCCCCCGGCUCAACCGGGGAGGGUCAUUGGAAACUGGGGAACUUGAGUGCAGAAGAGGAGAGUGGAAUUCCACGGAAACGGAGGAUUUGCGUAGAGAUGUGGAGGAACACCAGUGGCGAAGGCGACUCUCUGGUCUGUAACUGACGCUGAGGAGCGAAAGCGUGGGGAGCGAACAGGAUUAGAAUGGGAGGUAGUCACGCCGUAAACGAUGAGUGCUAAGUGUUAGGGGGUUUCCGCCCCUUAGUGCUGCAGCUAACGCAUUAAGCACUCCGCCUGGGGAGUACGGUCGCAAGACUGAAACUCAAAGGAAUUGACGGGGGCCCGCACAAGCGGUGGAGCAUGUGGUUUA